UGGGGAACCUGCCCCAUAGUCUGGGAUACCACUUGGAAACAGGUGCUAAUACCGGAUAAGAAAGCAGAUCGCAUGAUCAGCUUUUAAAAGGCGGCGUAAGCUGUCGCUAUGGGAUGGCCCCGCGGUGCAUUAGUUAGUUGGUAAGGUAAAGGCUUACCAAGGCGAUGAUGCAUAGCCGAGUUGAGAGACUGAUCGGCCACAUUGGGACUGAGACACGGCCCAAACUCCUACGGGAGGCAGCAGGC
rnacentral:rRNA from 1 species